UACGUAGGGUGCAAGCGUUAAUCGGAAUUACUGGGCGUAAAGCGUGCGCAGGCGGUGAUGUAAGACAGAUGUGAAAUCCCCGGGCUCAACUUGGGAACUGCAUUUGUGACUGCAUCGCUGGAGUGCGGCAGAGGGGGAUGGAAUUCCGCGUGUAGCAGUGAAAUGCGUAGAUAUGCGGAGGAACACCGAUGGCGAAGGCAAUCCCCUGGGCCUGCACUGACACUCAUGCACGAAAUCGUGGGGAGCAAACAGG
rnacentral:rRNA from 1 species